rnacentral:rRNA from 1 species
CACGUAGGGCGCAAGCGUUGUCCGGAAUUAUUGGGCGUAAAGAGCUCGUAGGCGGUCUGUUGCGUCCGCUGUGAAAACUCGGGGCUUAACCCCGAGCCUGCAGUGGAUACGGGCAGACUAGAGGUAGGUAGGGGAGAAUGGAAUUCCCGGUGUAGCGGUGAAAUGCGCAGAUAUCAGGAGGAACACCGGUGGCGAAGGCGGGUCUCUGGGCCUGUCCUGACGCUGAGGCGCGAAAGCUAGGGGAGCGAACAGG